rnacentral:pre_miRNA from 1 species
AAAAAAAUAAACCCUAGAUUUCCGUGUCCAACGUUUGACUGUCUGUCUUAUAUGAAUUUUUUUUAUAAUUAGUAUUUUUAUUAUUGUUAGAUGAUAAAACAUGAUUAAUACUUUAUGCAUGACUUGUCUUUUUAUUUUUUUCAUAAUUUUUUCAAAUAAGACGGACGGUCAAACGUUGGACACGGAAACCCAGGG